rnacentral:rRNA from 1 species
AUUGAACGCUGGCGGCAGGCUUAACACAUGCAAGUCGAACGGUAGCAGGUAAGUACUUGUACUUAUGCUGACGAGUGGCGGACGGGUGAGUAAUGCUUGGGGAUCUGGCUUAUGGAGGGGGAUAACGACGGGAAACUGUCGCUAAUACCGCGUAGAAUCGGGAGAUGAAAGUGUGGGACCUUCGGGCCACAUGCCAUAGGAUGAGCCCAAGUGGGAUUAGGUAGUUGGUGGGGUAAUGGCCUACCAAGCCGACGAUCUCUAGCUGGUCUGAGAGGAUGACCAGCCACACCGGGACUGAGACACGGCCCGGACUCCUACGGGAGGCAGCAGUGGGGAGUAUUGCGCAAUGGGGGCAACCCUGACGCAGCCAUGCCGCGUGAAUGAAGAAGGCCUUCGGGUUGUAAAGUUCUUUCGGUGACGAGGAAGGUUGUUGUGUUAAUAGCGCAACAAAUUGACGUUAAUCACAGAAGAAGCACCGGCUAACUCCGUGCCAGCAGCCGCGGUAAUACGGAGGGUGCGAGCGUUAAUCGGAAUAACUGGGCGUAAAGGGCACGCAGGCGGACUUUUAAGUGAGGUGUGAAAUCCCCGGGCUUAACCUGGGAAUUGCAUUUCAGACUGGGGGUCUAGAGUACUUUAGGGAGGGGUAGAAUUCCACGUGUAGCGGUGAAAUGCGUAGAGAUGUGGAGGAAUACCGAAGGCGAAGGCAGCCCCUUGGGAAUGUACUGACGCUCAUGUGCGAAAGCGUGGGGAGCAAACAGG